rnacentral:rRNA from 1 species
ACUCCUACGGGAGGCAGCAGUGGGGAAUAUUGCACAAUGGGCGCAAGCCUGAUGCAGCCAUGCCGCGUGUAUGAAGAAGGCCUUCGGGUUGUAAAGUACUUUCAGCGGGGAGGAAGGCGGUGAGGUUAAUAACCUCGCCGAUUGACGUUACCCGCAGAAGAAGCACCGGCUAACUCCGUGCCAGCAGCCGCGGUAAU